rnacentral:rRNA from 1 species
GACGAACGCUGGCGGCGUGCUUAACACAUGCAAGUCGAACGAAGUGGCGAACGGGUGAGUAACGCGUAAUCAACCUGCCCUUCAGCGGGGGACAACAGUUGGAAACGACUGCUCAUACCGCAUACUGAAGGCGGGGAUUGCGUCUGAUUCGCUCGUUGGAGGGGUAACGGCCCACAAAGGCGAUGAUCAGUAGCCGGUCUGAGAGGAUGAACGGCCACAUUGGUACUGAGAAACGGCCCAGACUCCUACGGGAGGCAGCAGUGGGGAAUCUGCCGCAAUGGACGAAAGUCUGACGGAGCAACGCCGCGUGAGUGAUGACGGCCUUCGGGUUGUAAAGCUCUGUUAAUCGGGACGCGGUACCGGAAUAGAAAGCCACGGCUAACUACGUGCCAGCAGCCGCGGUAAUUC